ensembl:snRNA Gm22055 predicted gene, 22055
GUGCUCGCUUCAGCAGCACAUAGACUAAAACUGGAAUGAUACAGAGAAGAUUAGCAUGGCCCCUGCACAAGAAUUACUUGCUGAUUCAUGAAGCAUGAUAUACAUAC